GCACAUGGCAUUAAAUUUCGCGCCAGAAGUGGCCUGAGGCCUGCUUGAUUAUUAAUUAGCAUUUAGGCCUAAUACAUUUCUGAUAUAUGUACAAUUUUAUAUGAUAGUCGGGUAAAUAUUGAAAUAAGAAGUUGAAAUUUACCAAAAAUGACGCAUUCUCCAGCUUCAUUGUGAAAAGAUCGCGAAGCUCAAGGUGUUUUUAAGGUCCCGCGUCACGGAGUGUGUCGGCACAGCAGUUAGACCGGACAGCUGCUUUUUAAAAGCACUGAUAAGAGGCACCCUGAUGCUGAACAUUGCAAAUUGGAAGUGAAGAUUGCCUUCCUGUAGACUUUAUCUUAAAGCAGUAAAACAAGAAGCUGUGACUACAACUGCAGUGAAGUGUACACAGUGUGGUUUCUGUGGAUGGCCUGCGUUUCUUCAGCAGCAGCAGACUCCUCUGAGGAACUGGCCUGACUCAUCUGCAUCUGUGACAGUGGACUCCAUUGCUUCAGUAAGAUGGAUGGCGAGUGUGUAAAGGAGCUGACAUCACAACACUUACUGGGAGGCAGCGCAAGCAGUCCCCCGGUGACCUGCGAUUCAAGCCCCAGAUUAUGGUUGUUCAUUGUUUGUUUCUGCUCCUCGUUCGGGCUCAGCGACAGACCGCUAUCCAAACUGGGG